UACGGAGGAUGCAAGCGUUAUCCGGAAUUAUUGGGCGUAAAGCGUCCGCAGGUGGCUAGACAAGUCUGCUGUCAAAGACUGGAGCUCAACUCCGGGCAGGCGGUGGAAACUGUCGAGCUAGAGUACGGUAGGGGUAGAGGGAAUUCCCAGUGUAGCGGUGAAAUGCGUAGAGAUUGGGAAGAACACCAGUGGCGAAGGCGCACUACGGGGCCGUAAAUGACUAUCAGGGACGAAAGCUAGGGGAGCGAAAGGG
rnacentral:rRNA from 1 species